AACGAACGCUGGCGGCGUGCCUAACACAUGCAAGUCGAGCGCGAAUGGGGCAACCCUAGUAGAGCGGCGCACGGGUGCGUAACACGUGGAUAAUCUGCCUGGAUGCCUGGGAUAACCAGUCGAAAGAUUGGCUAAUACCGGAUAAGCCCACGGUUUCUUCGGAGACUGAGGGAAAAGGUGGCCUCUGUAUACAAGCUAUCACAACCAGAUGAGUCCGCGGCCCAUCAGCUAGUUGGCGGGGUAAUGGCCCACCAAGGCAACGACGGGUAGCUGGUCUGAGAGGACGAUCAGCCACACCGGAACUGAGACACGGUCCAGACUCCUACGGGAGGCAGCAGUGGGGAAUUUUGCGCAAUGGGCGAAAGCCUGACGCAGCAACGCCGCGUGUGUGAUGAAGGUCUUUGGAUUGUAAAGCACUUUCGACCGGGACGAAAACCCGAAGCCCAAUACGCUUCGGCUUGACGGUAC
rnacentral:rRNA from 1 species